GAAAAAGAUUUUCAUUCCCUGCAGAGCUGUAAAAUUCAAGUAACAAACAUGUACACGUUUUAUCCCCUCCUAAAUCACGUCAGCUUCCUGCAGUCAAAUGCCAGCAGUUUCUGUCAAAGGUAUAAGGUAUAAAACUGUUCUGUUAGGAGCUGAGCUUCAGAGACUUCCUGGCUAACAUGAGGAUUGUAAAAAAUCCAAAAUAGAUUGGAAGGGAAGGCUGCAUUCAUGUGAAACAUGGAAGAUCUGCUCCAAGAUCAGAGGCUUAAUGUGUGAUUUGCAUCCACUGUUAGCCUUACACAUCAGCUUCUCUAUGCCAGAAAAAUGUCUUGAUGCCCAAGUGGCAAAUUAUUCUCUUUUUAAGAAGAGAGGAGGAGGAGGAGGAUCAUUUCUCUCAGAGGGAGAAGAAAAAAAAAAAAAAAAGAAGAAGAAUUAAUAAAUAUUUCACAGAAGGUGAACCCAGAGGUCCUGAAGCAAAUCCUGAACAAAUUACAGGGAAGCAGAAACAGCUGGAGAGAGAAUACCAUUGCAGUAAGCACACUGCCUUGACCCAGCCUGCCAGCGCCCUUCAGCUCCCAGCUUUACUGUUUCUAAACACCUUAGCAAAAAAUAGGCAGAAUAUCUCUCAUUUAUUCAAGAAAAAAAGAAGGGGAUCCAUCCAAGUUCUUUUGUGAGACAAUCUGAAGAGGACCUUGGGGUUUCUAUGUUAGGCAACUCUGUGUGCUCUGAAAAGCCCUGCAAAGGCAGCUUGCAAAAAAAGAAGCGUAGGAGGGAGCUGGGAAGGCAGUGUGGCCUCAUAGGAAAUGAAGGCAAUAAUGCACAGCUCGUGAAUACGGGAACACCGCUGAUGUGGGAAAAGCACACAUUUCUUAUCAGCUACACCACUACUCACUACUGUACAAGGAUAAGUAUACGGAGACUUUGUCUUUGAUCCCCCUCCCCCCCCCCCCCAUUUUAGCUUUGUUAUUUGUUAUUAUUAUUGAUAUUAUCUUAUUAAUUAUUAUUACUAUUUCAAAUGAAUCAUGUAGGCCAGAAAAGUCAGAUUGGCCACCAUUUUGGUGGGGGAAGGAGAGACAUUUUUCUGAGGGGUCUCCAAAGGGAUGUACCCAUGCAGGUGCUGUGCUGGCGAAAUAUCUCACCAUAACAUUUGAGUGGCUCAGAGCUGCACAUUACUCCUUUACUUUCUUCUCCAUGGCCAACCUCCAAGGUUUUUUAUCCAUCUUUUAUAUGUUGCCUAUGUAAUCUUUGGAAGGAUGUGCUACAUUUGCUCAUAUAAGAUCAGCAUGACUGAACACUGGCUUGGAUGGAGCUCAGAUCCUACCAAAACCUAAAUGUUAGGUAAUGACUUUUGCUGUAUAUAGAACAUAGAAUAUAGGUCAAAUGAAAGAAGAAGUGACAGAAAGAGGGGAAGGCUGCAAUAAUGGAAAUAUCUUUAAUGCCACAAGCUACUCAAUAACUGAAAUCCGGAACAGCAUGAGUUCUGGGUUUUUUGUUUUGUUUUGUUUUUAAAAACAGGUUUAAGUAUUCAUCUGUUAUUCUUGAGAACUUCAG
rnacentral:lncRNA from 1 species